GACGAACGCUGGCGGCGUGCUUAACACAUGCAAGUCGAACGGAAAGGCCCUGCUUUUGUGGGGUGCUCGAUUGGCGAACGGGUGAGUAACACGUGAGUAACCUGCACUUGACUUUGGGAUAACUUCAGGAAACUGGGGCUCAUACCGGAUAGAAGCUCUUGCUGCAUGGUGUGGGUUGGUAAGUUUCGGUGGUUGGGGAUGGAAUCGAGGCUUAUCAGCUUGUUGGUGGGGUAGUGGCUUACCAAGCCUGCGACGGGUAGCCGACCUGAGAGGGUGACCGGCCACAAUGGUACUGAGAUACGGCCCAGACGCCUACGGGAGGCAGCAGUGGGGAAUAUUACACAGUGGGCGGAAGCCAGAUGCAGCAACGCCGCGUGCGGGAUGACGGCCUUCUAGUGGUAAACCGCUUUGGCCUGUGACGAAGCGUGAGUGACGGUAAUGGGUAAAGAAGCACCGGCUAACUACGUG
rnacentral:rRNA from 1 species